GGAGUCGGCCGGGCAGUCGCUGGGGGUAACCCUGGAGGAAAGUCCGGGCUCCAUUGGGCAGGGUGCCAGGUAAUUCCUGGGGGGCGUAAGCCCACGGAAAGUGCCACAGAAAAUAUACCGCCGGUCUUAAGAGACCGGUAAGGGUGAAAUGGUGCGGUAAGAGCGCACCGCACAGGUGGCGACAUCUGUGGCAGGGCAAACCCCACCCGGAGCAAGACCGAAUAGAGGAACGUUUAGUGUGCCCACAUGAGUUCCUGGGUAGGUUGCUAGAGGCGAACGGUGACGCGCGCCCAAGAUGAAUGGCUGCUCUCGACAGAACCCGGCUUAUAGGCCGACUCCUUUU
rnacentral:RNase_P_RNA from 1 species